rnacentral:rRNA from 1 species
GUGGGGAAUAUUGGACAAUGGGCGAAAGCCUGAUCCAGCAACGCCGCGUGAGGGAUGACGGCCUUCGGGUUGUAAACCUCUUUCAGCAGGGACGAAGCGAAAGUGACGGUACCUGCAGAAGAAGGACCGGCCAACUACGUGCCAGCAGCCGCGGUAAUACGUAGGGUCCGAGCGUUGUCCGGAAUUAUUGGGCGUAAAGGGCUCGUAGGCGGUCUGUCGCGUCGGGAGUGAAAACUCAGGGCUCAACCCUGAGCGUGCUUCCGAUACGGGCAGACUAGAGGUAUGCAGGGGAGAACGGAAUUCCUGGUGUAGCGGUGGAAUGCGCAGAUAUCAGGAGGAACACCGGUGGCGAAGGCGGUUCUCUGGGCAUUACCUGACGCUGAGGAGCGAAAGCAUGGGGAGCGAACAGGAUUAGAAACCCUAGUAGUCC